CCUACGGGCGGCAGCAGUGGGGAAUAUUGCACAAUGGGGGAAACCCUGAUGCAGCGACGCCGCGUGAGUGAAGAAGUACUUCGUUAUGUAAAGCUCUAUCAGCAGGGAAGAAAAUGACGGUACCUGAGCAAGAAGCCCCGGCUAACUACGUGCCAGCAGCCGCGGUAAUACGUAGGGGGCAAGCGUUAUCCGGAUUUACUGGGUGUAAAGGGAGCGUAGACGGCAGUGCAGGUCUGGAGUGAAAGGCGGGGGCCCAACCCCGGGACUGCUCUGGAAACUGUAUGGCUGGAGUGCAGGAGAGGUAAGCGGAAGUCCUAGUGUAGCGGUGAAAUGCGUAGAUAUUAGGAGGAACACCGGUGGCGAAGGCGGCUUACUGGACUGUAACUGACGUUGAGGCUCGAAAGCGUGGGGAGCAAACAGGAUUAGAUACCCCUGUAGUC
rnacentral:rRNA from 1 species